CCAAAAAGUACUGUGUGUAAAAAACAUAGCUACUGCUGCUGUCCAUGCAGGCGUAAUCGAUUACCAUGAUUAGGGUAAUCGAUUACACAGUCCAAAAUAGCCUGGAAAUCAAUUUUUUGUCUGUGUAAUCGAUUACCAUGAUUAGGGUAAUCGAUUACAUGGUCCAAAAUGGCCUAAAAAUUAAUUUUUUGUCUGUGUAAUCGUUUAGCAUGAUUAGGGUAAUCGGUUAUAUAGUCCCAAUUUUUUUUAUUUUUUUUUAGAACUUUAACCGGAUAACCCCAUUUUUUGUGUAAAC
rnacentral:lncRNA from 1 species